GACGAACGCUGGCGGCGUGCUUAACACAUGCAAGUCGAACGGAAAGGCCCUGCUUUUGUGGGGUGCUCGAGUGGCGAACGGGUGAGUAACACGUGAGUAACCUGCCCUUGACUUUGGGAUAACUUCAGGAAACUGGGGCUAAUACCGGAUAGGAGCUCCUGCUGCAUGGUGGGGGUUGGAAAGUUUCGGCGGUUGGGGAUGGACUCGCGGCUUAUCAGCUUGUUGGUGGGGUAGUGGCUUACCAAGGCUUUGACGGGUAGCCGGCCUGAGAGGGUGACCGGCGACAUUGGGACUGAGAUACGGCGCAGACGCCUACGGGAGGCAGCAGUGGGGAAUAUUGCACAAUGGGCGGAAGCCUGAUGCAGCAACGCCGCGUGCGGGAUGACGGCCUUCGGGUUGUAAACCGCUGUCGCCUGUGACGAAGCGUGAGUGACGGUAAUGGGUAAAGAAGCACCGGCUAACUACGUG
rnacentral:rRNA from 1 species